rnacentral:rRNA from 1 species
UACGUAGGGCGCAAGCGUUGUCCGGAAUUAUUGGGCGUAAAGAGCUCGUAGGCGGUUUGUCGCGUCUGCUGUGAAAACCUGAGGCUCAACCUCGGGCUUGCAGUGGGUACGGGCAGACUAGAGUGCGGUAGGGGUGACUGGAAUUCCUGGUGUAGCGGUGGAAUGCGCAGAUAUCAGGAGGAACACCGGUGGCGAAGGCGGGUCUCUGGGCCGAUACUGACGCUGAGGAGCGAAAGCGUGGGGAGCGAACAGG